rnacentral:rRNA from 1 species
UUAAGCGACUAAGCGUACACGGUGGAUGCCCUGGCAGUCAGAGGCGAUGAAGGACGUGCUAAUCUGCGAUAAGCGUCGGUAAGGUGAUAUGAACCGUUAUAACCGGCGAUUUCCGAAUGGGGAAACCCAGUGUGAUUCGACACACUAUCAUUAACUGAAUCCAUAGGUUAAUGAGGCGAACCGGGGGAACUGAAACAUCUAAGUACCCCGAGGAAAAGAAAUCAACCGAGAUUCCCCCAGUAGCGGCGAGCGAACGGGGAGCAGCCCAGAGCCUGAAUCAGUGUGUGUGUUAGUGGAAGCGUCUGGAAAGGCGCGCGAUACAGGGUGACAGCCCCGUACACAAAAAUGCACAUGCUGUGAGCUCGAUGAGUAGGGCGGGACACGUGGUAUCCUGUCUGAAUAUGGGGGGACCAUCCUCCAAGGCUAAAUACUCCUGACUGACCGAUAGUGAACCAGUACCGUGAGGGAAAGGCGAAAAGAACCCCGGCGAGGGGAGUGAAAAAGAACCUGAAACCGUGUACGUACAAGCAGUGGGAGCACGCUUAGGCGUGUGACUGCGUACCUUUUGUAUAAUGGGUCAGCGACUUAUAUUCUGUAGCAAGGUUAACCGAAUAGGGGAGCCGAAGGGAAACCGAGUCUUAACUGGGCGUUAAGUUGCAGGGUAUAGACCCGAAACCCGGUGAUCUAGCCAUGGGCAGGUUGAAGGUUGGGUAACACUAACUGGAGGACCGAACCGACUAAUGUUGAAAAAUUAGCGGAUGACUUGUGGCUGGGGGUGAAAGGCCAAUCAAACCGGGAGAUAGCUGGUUCUCCCCGAAAGCUAUUUAGGUAGCGCCUCGUGAAUUCAUCUCCGGGGGUAGAGCACUGUUUCGGCAAGGGGGUCAUCCCGACUUACCAACCCGAUGCAAACUGCGAAUACCGGAGAAUGUUAUCACGGGAGACACACGGCGGGUGCUAACGUCCGUCGUGAAGAGGGAAACAACCCAGACCGCCAGCUAAGGUCCCAAAGUCAUGGUUAAGUGGGAAACGAUGUGGGAAGGCCCAGACAGCCAGGAUGUUGGCUUAGAAGCAGCCAUCAUUUAAAGAAAGCGUAAUAGCUCACUGGUCGAGUCGGCCUGCGCGGAAGAUGUAACGGGGCUAAACCAUGCACCGAAGCUGCGGCAGCGACACUAUGUGUUGUUGGGUAGGGGAGCGUUCUGUAAGCCUGUGAAGGUGUACUGUGAGGUAUGCUGGAGGUAUCAGAAGUGCGAAUGCUGACAUAAGUAACGAUAAAGCGGGUGAAAAGCCCGCUCGCCGGAAGACCAAGGGUUCCUGUCCAACGUUAAUCGGGGCAGGGUGAGUCGACCCCUAAGGCGAGGCCGAAAGGCGUAGUCGAUGGGAAACAGGUUAAUAUUCCUGUACUUGGUGUUACUGCGAAGGGGGACGGAGAAGGCUAUGUUGGCCGGGCGACGGUUGUCCCGGUUUAAGCGUGUAGGCUGGUUUUCCAGGCAAAUCCGGAAAAUCAAGGCUGAGGCGUGAUGACGAGGCACUACGGUGCUGAAGCAACAAAUGCCCUGCUUCCAGGAAAAGCCUCUAAGCAUCAGGUAACAUCAAAUCGUACCCCAAACCGACACAGGUGGUCAGGUAGAGAAUACCAAGGCGCUUGAGAGAACUCGGGUGAAGGAACUAGGCAAAAUGGUGCCGUAACUUCGGGAGAAGGCACGCUGAUAUGUAGGUGAAGUCCCUCGCGGAUGGAGCUGAAAUCAGUCGAAGAUACCAGCUGGCUGCAACUGUUUAUUAAAAACACAGCACUGUGCAAACACGAAAGUGGACGUAUACGGUGUGACGCCUGCCCGGUGCCGGAAGGUUAAUUGAUGGGGUCAGCGCAAGCGAAGCUCUUGAUCGAAGCCCCGGUAAACGGCGGCCGUAACUAUAACGGUCCUAAGGUAGCGAAAUUCCUUGUCGGGUAAGUUCCGACCUGCACGAAUGGCGUAAUGAUGGCCAGGCUGUCUCCACCCGAGACUCAGUGAAAUUGAACUCGCUGUGAAGAUGCAGUGUACCCGCGGCAAGACGGAAAGACCCCGUGAACCUUUACUAUAGCUUGACACUGAACAUUGAGCCUUGAUGUGUAGGAUAGGUGGGAGGCUUUGAAGUGUGGACGCCAGUCUGCAUGGAGCCGACCUUGAAAUACCACCCUUUAAUGUUUGAUGUUCUAACGUUGACCCGUGAUCCGGGUUGCGGACAGUGUCUGGUGGGUAGUUUGACUGGGGCGGUCUCCUCCUAAAGAGUAACGGAGGAGCACGAAGGUUGGCUAAUCCUGGUCGGACAUCAGGAGGUUAGUGCAAUGGCAUAAGCCAGCUUGACUGCGAGCGUGACGGCGCGAGCAGGUGCGUAAAGCAGGUCAUAGUGAUCCGGUGGUUCUGAAUGGAAGGGCCAUCGCUCAACGGAUAAAGGUACUCCGGGGAUAACAGGCUGAUACCGCCCAAGAGUUCAUAUCGACGGCGGUGUUUGGCACCUCGAUGUCGGCUCAUCACAUCCUGGGGCUGAAGUAGGUCCCAAGGGUAUGGCUGUUCGCCAUUUAAAGUGGUACGCGAGCUGGGUUUAGAACGUCGUGAGACAGUUCGGUCCCUAUCUGCCGUGGGCGCUGGAGAACUGAGGGGGGCUGCUCCUAGUACGAGAGGACCGGAGUGGACGCAUCACUGGUGUUCGGGUUGUCAUGCCAAUGGCACUGCCCGGUAGCUAAAUGCGGAAGAGAUAAGUGCUGAAAGCAUCUAAGCACGAAACUUGCCCCGAGAUGAGUUCUCCCUGACUCCUUGAGAGUCCUGAAGGAACGUUGAAGACGACGACGUUGAUAGGCCGGGUGUGUAAGCGCAGCGAUGCGUUGAGCUAACCGGUACUAAUGAACCGUGAGGCUUAACCUU